rnacentral:lncRNA from 1 species
ACACUCACUUCAUCAUAUAUGUUUAUGGACUCCUCCUGGAUGUAAGCACAUACUUUGAACUUCCCCAUUAUAGGGUGAAGCUGGUGUAUGAGUCACAAACGAUUGGAGCCCACCACGGUGGAAGGCCACGAAAGAGUGUUCAAAGCACUCUCACGCUUAUCAACUUAAUAUAUGGUUUGGUUGAGGGUUUUAGGUCUCAUCAUAUAUAUAAACAUUCAUUUUAAUCUUAUUAAAACAAUUUGGUCCUAUUACAACUAUUGGUCCAUGUGAUUGAUUUUAGUAGUAUAUAAUACUCCCACUAAGCUUGUAAAACGGUUCUUAAAGCAAGAGUAUAUGGUACUACUAACAUAAGGUUUGCAUUCAUUGAUGGACUAGAUAGUUGCCUUAGGGCCUUAGGAUGACUAUGAACCUUUGAUUAGAUCCAACACGAGCCUAUUGUUGAAUCUCGGUCUAGGGAUGGUGAUUGAUUUUAGUUACGCGUUUAAUCAUAUUAAGGCGUGUUUUCCUAUUGGGCGUUGGACCCAACUACUCCAAUUUCAUGCAUAUCAAAUAAAACAAGAAAAUGAGUACUUCAAAGUAAAAAAGAGCUUAUGCUCUUUUACAACAUUUGAAUAAUACAAAUUACUUUAAAGUAAAGAAGAGCUUAUGCUCUUUUACAACAUUUGAUCAAAUCAAAUUACAACCAAAAUCUAAUCUACACAUUCCCAUGGUUCAAACAAAUUUGAAACGGCCUUUCACAUAGCUCAAUUAUCGUAGGCUUAGGUUCAUAAUCACCCUUUAAUUAAUUAACGCUUUAACCAAUUAAAUGUUGAAUGCAACAAUGUCAUUUGGUUUUUGUAUCCAUAGAAUUGAUUUAUAUGGAGCUAAAUGAAAUGAAAAUCCAAUUCUCAUUUAAAAAGACAAAACCAUUUUGUUCUCAACCUAAUUUGGGCCAAAAUGCAAUAACCUUAACUUUUUGGGCUAUGUUGCAAAACUUAAACUUUUGAGCUCAUUUUGUAAAAACACAAAAGUCCAUUACUUCAUGUAAUUACAACUAGAUCCCAAAAUUUCAACAAAUUGAAAAACUUCAUUAAAGGAACAAAACAAUUUGUCCUUUAAUGAUUUUGGGCCUUUACGUAAAUACGUAAACUUUUGGGUCAAACUACAAAAUACACAAAAGUACCAAAACUUUAUGUAAUUGCAUAAAAGCUCCAAAAGUACUCCCUUUGAGGGAGUGGCCAGUUUUUAGAGUAAUGAAGCCAUCAAAAUUUUGAAAAUUUUUCAACUAAGUUGUGACAACCCGUCCCGAUUUUAACGUGUCAUAUGUAUACAGUGUGUUAAAUACCCUAAAUCCUUAUACAAUUGUUUAAGGUUUGGACGGCUAUUUUAUAUGUUGAAUGAUUAAAGGCUAAGGAAUGGAUCACACGUCCGAUUCCAUUUCCAUUCCCUUUUCGUGAAGUGCUCCACUCGUGAAGUGCUCCACUGCCUCCCUCAAUAAUACCUUCACUCAUCGUCAUUCCCUCACACGAACCUGAAACUCUCUCUCUCUCUAUCCCUCGACAGUCUUUCUCUCUCUCUCUAACUCUCCCUCUCGAACCGUAAGCAACACACACACAAAAACUCAAUCAAACUUGCACGAACGUUGGAUCUAAGACCACCAUCGUGAUCCUGAGAACUUCACGAACACGGGGAUACCAAAUUCAGGUGAGUUUCGUUUCGAAAAACUCUAGUUUCAAAGGUCCCGUGUUUAUGUACUGUUCAUAAACUUUAUUAUGGCCAUGUUUUAGGCUAAACAAAGAUCACAGUGAGUCUUAGAAGGUCCCAAGGAUGCUCGGAGUGUAACGUUGGGAAGUUUUGGACGUCAGGAUCACCCAGUUCGAGUUUGGCCGAUUUUGAGAAAUUCGAGAAGGUAAAAUCUCGUUGUUAUUAGACCCUAAAACUAGUCCAACGUGAUUUUAUAGGUUGAGGGCUUUAAAUUGGUAUAAAAUUU